GACGAACCGUGCAAACGUUAUUCGGAAUCACUGGGCUUAAAGGGCGCGUAGGCGGGCCGCCAGGUCCGGGGUGAAAGCCUCCAGCUCAACUGGAGAAGUGCCUUGGAUACCGGCGGCCUCGAGGGAGGUAGGGGCGUGCGGAACUUCGGGUGGAGCGGUGAAAUGCGUUGAUAUCCACAGGAACUCCGGUGGCGAAGGCGGCACGCUGGACCUCUUCUGACGCUGAGGCGCGAAAGCCAGGGGAGCAAACGGG
rnacentral:rRNA from 1 species